rnacentral:lncRNA from 10 species
GUCACAUAGUUCCUGGCAUGCCAUUGUCCUGAAUUCACCUACUAAUUUUACCCUCAGAGAAAGAGAGAGUCUUUGGAGAGUUGUGAGGAGAUAAGUGACAUAAACUGGCAUGUUCUGAAAGAAUCACUCUGGAUGCUGUGUGGAGAAAACACUGAAAAGAAUUCUAGAGUGAAAGUUUCAUGAAUAUAAGAAGCAAGACAAGGAAGUGGCUUAUGCUUAAGGCCUUAAAGGCAACCACUGUGACAAUCCAGCCAUUCUCUGGAGAAUUCAGCAGAAAGCCAGUUGGAAUCUUUAUAGGGGGAGAAUAAUUGACUCCAUUCAAGUGUUCGCUCCUGUUUCAAUCAACUAUGGCUGAAGAGUGAGGAGACAUUUGGAAUAAAUAUGGCUUCUGGGGGCCCAUUCCUAUGGAUCAGCAGCUGGCUUCUGGAGGCCCAUUCCUGUGAAUCGUCGAUCUCAUAGAAGAUAAUAUUGUUAGAAGGCUUACCUCAUUGAUGCUGAACAUCCUAAAAAGCUUCUGCUGCUUUGAGUCACUGAAAAAGACCAAGAAACAUGAAUUUAAAAAAAAAUUUCAAAUGUUAUAAAAUAAAUAAUAUGAACUCAUUAUACCUACAAUGAAUAAUUUAAAUUCUUCUUUGGUAGUCCAGGUAAAUAACUUCUCAAAUAGAUUUUUUUAAGCAUCUGUAUAAGUUCAAGAUGUACAUCACUUCAUGUAGAAUAACAUCUCCUAAAAAGAACUGAAAUGCCUCAGUAUACAACCAGCUGACCUGGCUAUCAAACACUUAUUUAGCACAUAUUACAUGAUGGACACUUUGAUGUAGAUACGGACCUUGGGUUGUGUCCUCAAGGAUCAUACAGUGGGUUGAGGAAAUAGGAUAUGCUAUCCAUAGGAAAGUAAAUAAUAAUAUGACAGCUUAUUUUCAAUGAGAAGUGAAUAGUACAAAGAAUAGGAGUUGCCAGAUUUCAAAAGGAAAGAGCUAUCACACAGAGGCGGAACAAUUAGAAAUUUUUCAUGAAGGAAGUGUUCUUUGUGCUGGACCUUUGAGAAAGUAUAGAAUGUAGAUUAGCAAAAAGGCAUGGAAAAGGCAUGAUAGGUAGGAGAGGCAAGUUAGGCAAAGGUCCAUUAGAAUUGCUCAAGAUAUAAUAGACCAACUUGGCCUGAAAAAGGCCUGGAAGUAUCCUCUUUUGUGCUCUGUGAGAAGUUUGCCACCAUGUAAAAAGUCUAACUACCCUAAGGCAACCAUGCUCUGAGAAGCCCAACCUAUC